GAUGAAGUGCAAAUCUUAUCAAUAUGAAAGUUAAAGAAAAAAUGAAGGCAGACCUCCAAGUGGGAAAAAAAAAAGUAAAAAAAAAUCUAAAAUGAAACCAAAAUUGUUGAGUGGAACAAUAUUAGUCACAACUUCAUAGCAAUUGAAUAUGGUCUCUUUCCGAUGUCGUUCAUCUAUGUGUUCAAAAAAUUGAUUACAAAAAGUUUUGUGGUAAAGUGAAAUUGUCAGAUAGACCUCUAGCUAUGCUUAGUUUCUGAUUUUUGCAUUUGAGUGGUGGUUGUCUGCAUCUUCUCUCUUUUUAUACUUUAUUGCUUUUGGUUAUAUACUUCAUGUAACUUAAAAUAUUAUUCACCUGCUGCUAUAUAAUGAUAUUGGUCAAGAUUUUAACUUAGUAUAGUAUUGUGACUGACAUUGUAGUAUUUUGUAGAGUGUUAUGAGAAUAUUUUAUUCUUAUUGUGUGUUUACAGAUGGAUAAGGGAACAAGUCCAGA
rnacentral:misc_RNA from 1 species